rnacentral:rRNA from 1 species
UACGUAGGGAGCAAGCGUUGUUCGGAAUUACUGGGCGUAAAGAGUGUGUAGGCGGUGAGCUAAGUUCGGUGUGAAAUCUCCCGGCUUAACUGGGAGGGGGCGCCGGAAACUGGAGUGCUUGAGCGCGGGAGAGGAAAGCGGAAUUCCUGGUGUAGCGGUGAAAUGCGUAGAUAUCAGGAGGAACACCUGUGGUGUAGACGGCUCUCUGGACCGUAGCUGACGCUGAGACACGAAAGCGUGGGUAGCAAACAGG